rnacentral:rRNA from 1 species
GACGAACGCUGGCGGCGUGCCUAAUACAUGCAAGUCGAACGAAAAGGCCCGGCGCUUGUGGGGUGCUCGAUUGGCGAACGGGUGAGUAACACGUGAGUAACCUGCCCUUGACUGUGGGAUAAAAUCAGGAAACUGGGGCUCAUACCGCAUAGAAGCUCCUGCUGCACGUUGGGGGAUGGAAAGUUUCGGCGGUUGGGUCUGGAAUCGCUGCUUAUCAGCUUGUUGGUGGGGUAGUGGCUUACCAAGGCUUUGACGGGUAGCCGGCCUGAGAGGGUGACCGGCCUCAUUGGGACUGAGAUACGGCCCAGACUCCUACGGGAGGCAGCAGUGGGGAAUAUUGCACAAUGGGCGGAAGCCUGAUGCAGCAACGCCGCGUGCGGGAUGACGGCCUUCGGGUUGUAAACCGAUUUCGCCUGUGACGAAGCGUGAGUGACGGUAAUGGGUAAAGAAGCACCGGCUAACUACGUG